rnacentral:rRNA from 1 species
AUUGAACGCUGGCGGCAGGCCUAACACAUGCAAGUCGAGCGGAGCGGCAGACGAGUGAUUAAUGCCUAGGAAUCUGCCUGGAAGUGGGGGAUAACGUUCAGAAACGGGCGCUGCUACCGCAUACAAACACAUGAGGCUAGGUCGGAUUAGCGAGUUGUUGGGGUAAAGGCCUACCAAGGCGACGGUCCGUAACGGGGCUGAGAGGAUGAUCAGUCACACUGGAACGGAGACAGGGUGCCGACUCUGACGUGAGGAAGCAGUGGGGAAUCUUGGACAAGGGGGGAAAGCCUGAUACAGCCAUGCCGCGUGCUUGAAGAAGGACUUCGGAUUGUAAAGCACUGUAAGUUGUGAGGCGUUACCAACAGAAUAAGCACCGGCUAACUCCGUGCCAGCAGCCGCGGUAAUAC